CCCCCCCCCCCCCCCCCUCCCUGGACCGCGGGAAGCAGCGUCCGCCGGCGGACCCUGCCGCGUUGACCCCUCUCUGCACUUCCCCUGCCCCCACGAAGAACUGCCGAUGCCGGCCCCGACUCGCCACCACCUCAAGUCCUCAACUCUGGAAAUCGAAGCAGGGUCCCUGCCCACCACCGGCAGCUACCCCCACCCGAUCUCCUUCUGUAGCUGCAAGACACCACCGUCCGCUGAUUCACAUGUUUUUUCGAGCAAUAUUUCUGGCAGAUUGAUGCCCCUAUAUCGUUCCAUGGGAUAAUUAAGGAUAUAUAUUAUAUAUAAUUAUCUCUUAAUUUUUAUAUUUAACUGUGACAUAUAUGUAAUUGUGAUGUAUGUCAUUGUUCCCUUAUUUAUAUGUGGGUUAUGAUUG